UACGAAGGGGGCUAGCGUUGCUCGGAUUCAUUGGGCGUAAAGGGCGCGUAGGCGGCGGGGUAAGUCUGGUGUGAAAUCUCGGAGCUCAACUCCGAAAUUGCACUGGAUACUGCUCUGCUAGAGGGCUGGAGAGGAGAUCGGAAUUCACGGUGUAGCAGUGAAAUGCGUAGAUAUCGUGAGGAAGACCAGUGGCGAAGGCGGAUCUCUGGACAGCUCCUGACGCUGAGGCGCGAAGGCUAGGGGAGCAAACGGG
rnacentral:rRNA from 1 species